GAUGAACGCUGGCGGCGUGCCUAAUACAUGCAAGUCGAGCGAACGGACGAGAAGCUUGCUUCUCUGAUGUUAGCGGCGGACGGGUGAGUAACACGUGGAUAACCUACCUAUAAGACUGGGAUAACUUCGGGAAACCGGAGCUAAUACCGGAUAAUAUUUUGAACCGCAUGGUUCAAAAGUGAAAGACGGUCUUGCUGUCACUUAUAGAUGGAUCCGCGCUGCAUUAGCUAGUUGGUAAGGUAACGGCUUACCAAGGCAACGAUGCAUAGCCGACCUGAGAGGGUGAUCGGCCACACUGGAACUGAGACACGGUCCAGACUCCUGCGGGAGGCAGCAGUAGGGAAUCUUCCGCAAUGGGCGAAAGCCUGACGGAGCAACGCCGCGUGAGAGAUGAAGGUCUUCGGAUCGUAAAACUCUGUUAUUAGGGAAGAACAUAUGUGUAAGUAACUGUGCACAUCUUGACGGUACCUAAUCAGAAAGCCACGGCUAACUACGUG
rnacentral:rRNA from 1 species